rnacentral:antisense_RNA from 1 species
GUUGCUUUGGAGACCACAGGAGAGGCAGUGGUGAUGGCCCAUCACUUGAGCCCUGUGGCAUCCCCACAGGAUCCAUGGGCAUCAAGUAAUUUCCCUGUGCUUCUCUGAAGAUAAACCGCUGCCUUCACCAGCCUAGCAGCUUCCAGAAGCUGUGGAUGAGAAGCAAUCUCCCACCAAAAGCCAGAGCUCACCUGCAAAGCUUCAAUCCCAAGCAGAAGGAAGCCUCCGUUUUUCUCCCCCAGAUAAGCCUGAAUUCACCUCCAGAAAGUCUCAAUGCAUCACACCAAGGGUCACACACCUGCUCAUGAUUCUUCUUGAGGCAAAGCAGCUCUUCCUUCAGGGACUCCAGCUGGGCCUCCAGGUCACACUUGGUGAGGGUGAGGUUGUCCAGCACCCUGCGCAGGCCACAGAUGUCAGCCUCCACCAGCUGGUGCAGCGAGCACUCUGUCUCGUACCUGUAACAGGAGUUACAGUUAGAGAGCAGGAAGGGGCACCAGGACAUGACUCCCAGCUCGCAGCUGUAAGUCCACUGGCCUGCCCUUUGCCAUCUAAUUGUGAGUUGGCUUAUCCUGUGUAGUGUGCUCAAAGCCCAGAAAGCAACAGGAUGUUCCCCACUCAGUCAAUACUAAGCACCUGAGAUGAACCAAGGGGAGCAGCUGGUACUGAGGAUACUGUGAUGGACACACAGCCAGCACCUGCCUUUACAGACAAUGGCCCAAAAGGGAGGAGGCAAAGUAACCAGGCAUUUGCAACACGGUGCAAUCACUGCAGACCCCUCUCUACAAGCCCCAUACCCAAAGGGACCCUGGAUUCCCUCUUAGAGUAAAAGCCACAUUGCCAGCGUGAGAGGAAGGAAAUGGCUUUCUUUAGCUCUAGAAGAGUGAGACUUGCACAGUGCCCUGAAGAAAGAUGAAAAAACACAAUGCCCCUUCCAGCACCCAGGGUAGACCCUCCUCAGGUGGUGUCAACCCUUUGACUUUCACAUGUUUUCGUCUUAGGCUAUGGAGCGUGAUUUCUGCUAUGAAUUAUCAGCACUCACAAAUUAAUCAAGCUGCAGCACAGAAACAUAUCCUUAUUAAGGCAACAGUUUCACAGGAAAUUGCUUCAAGAAAGGAAAAUUUGGUACAAAAUUUAAAGCCAAGUCCCAGCUCUGCCACUCAGUACCCACAUGGCUUCUGGCAAGUCACACCAGCACCCCAAGCCUCAGGGUCCCCACCUGUGGAGGAGAGGCUAUCCCUGCCCGCCUGCUUCACAAGUUGCUUACCAGGUGGAUGGUGCAUUCUAGCACAUGUUGUAAACUGUUAAUGCUAAACCACUGGAGAGUGGAUAGUUUUUCAGGAUCUUGAGCUUAAUGCCCUUUGUUCUCUCCUGCUGUAACUACUGGGUUGGCGUCGGGGUCAAUGACAUCCGAUGCCACAUGAGACAGAAGCAGCCAACUUGGCAUUGUCCCAUCCCCAUCCAACCCCAACUCUCACUUGGCUCCUUCCCAUCCCUGUCCAACCCCAACUCACUUGGUCCUGAAGUCAUCCGCAGCCAAUUUGGCAUUGUCUAUUUGCACAACCAGCCUAUUGUUCUCCGAUUUGGUGCACAGAAUCUGGGAUAAGAAAGUAGGCUCAGUAAGUGACUUACUGAUCCCAGAGACACCUAUAGCCUCGGGUGAGAGGAAGUUUUAUUGGCUGAAGUUGAAUCUACAGCAUCCGCCUGGACAACACAAACUCUCAAACAUGCAAGAGAUGCUUUUGUGGGUGUGGGAAGGAAGAUGUGCAAGAGACUUCUUGGAAAAGGAUGAAGACAUAGAGUCAAAGGAACCAGGAGAUGGAAGACAGUAGCAAACUGAACAUAUAACAAAGACUUGCUUUCAUUUUGCCAGAUAUGAUGCUUAGCCCAAUAUAAAUAAGAAGAUCUGGCCAGAUGCAGUGGCUCAUGCCUGUAAUCUCAGCACUUUGGGAGGCCAAGGCAGGUGGAUCACCUGAGGUGGUGGGCCGGAUUUGUCCGACAGGCAGUAAGUAGAUUCCUGACCCCUGAUCUGGUGCACCGCAAACCUCACCUUCUGCUGGAGCUCCUGGAUGGUGCAGAAGUAGGACUGGUAGUUCGGGCACACGCUGGACUCGUGGCACUUGCUUCUCUCGUGGAGUUUGGUCUCCAGUUCUGCAUUGUCCCGCUCCAGCUGGCGUACCUUCUCCAGCACAACUCUACCUACCAAGGAGCUUCAAUGACAAUUCCUCCAGCUGACGGAUUUGGCCAAGAGUCAGUAAGUCUAGCAACAGCCUAUGCAUUGACAGUUUAUUUUUGUGAUGACUCAGUUUUACUUCUGAUUGAAAAGCAAAAUCCUCUUAUCUUCUAGAUAUGGGAGAAAAUGACAUAGGUUCUAACCAAUAUAUACUAUAGCCCUUCUUUUUCUUUUAAUGCUUAUAUUCACUUUCCUCCUAUAUAAUGACCAUUUCUAGCAAUAGGCUAAUUUAAGGUGUGGAGAGAAAUAUUCUUCUAGUCAAAAACUGUUUUUGAACACCUACAACAUAGGCUGAGUAAUGGGGCGGGCCCUUGGAAAUACAGCAGGAGAGAAGUCACACUGACCCUCCUCAGCCUGACUUACUUGAUCCUAAAGUCAUCAGCAGCCAGCUUGGCAUUGUCAAUUUGUACAAUCAGCCUGGCAUUCUCAGCCUUGCUGCACAGUAUCUGAGGAAAAUGGAAAGACAGUUCACACACAAAGCACCAUACUCUAAGCUCCCACUCCACGUGUGGUAUUUACGCUCAUGUCCAAGAGAAACCAAGAACCCAAAGCUCUCUGGACCUUAUGCAGACUCCUCCUGCGAAAGCUUCUGCCUUCUCAGACCCAGCAUGCCCAGGCGAUCCCACACCUCACCUUCUGCUGGAGCUCCUCGAUGGUACGGAAGUAGGACAGGUAGUCGGGGCACACGGUGGACUCGUGGCACUUGCUCCUCUCGAGGAGUGUGGUCUCCAGCUCUGCAUUCUCCUGCUCCAGCUGGCGCACCUUCUCCAGGUAGUUGGCCAGGCGGUCAUUCAGGAACUGCAUGGUCUCCUUCUCAUGGCCAUUCAGGGUGUUUUUGCCAGACGCCCCACAGAUUCCGAUGUUGCCGGGAAUGUGACAGGUCCCUGGCAAGGGACAAGCAGCAUGACAGGUCGGGGGCAGACAGAGGCUGGGACGGCCCAGGGGAGUCGACCCCACACGGACUCGGUUGGCAUGUGCCACGUUGGCCAAGAGGCACAUGGAGGCAGCAUUGGCCUCUGCCCCGGGCUGGCACCCAACAUCGAUAGGAGAGACAGGGGCGUUUCUUGCUCCAGGAGCCAUGGUGCAACCCAGAGGGCAUGAGGAGCUGCUGUAGAAGGAGGUCAUGGUGUAGGGCUGAGGCUGUACAGGAGCUUCAGAUCAGCUGGGAAGGCUGAGCCACUGAAACUGAAGCCUCCUCCCAACCCUUUUAUACCCCAUCCUGGGCGGGUGUUGGCUCCAGUUCUUUGACCUCCUGCCUUGAUUAUCUACCUGUUGUGGUGCCAUCAUCCUGUUACUCAGCUGCUGAGUUUACCAUGAAAAGUUCCUCAGCUCAUUAAAGCAAUGUUGACAAAUCUGAGAUGCCUCUUGGCUCUUUGAUAUCAGGUUGGCUGUUGGUGGGAAGUCAGAGAUUCAUUGUUUCUGCUCAACAAACACCAGCAGUUGAUUCAGGCCCCAAAUGCUCUCUCUGGACUAUGGUCUCUGUGGAUGUGGUCACAAUGAAGGCUCAAAUCUUUCCGUCAGUAAUUUGUGUAGCAGGAGACACUGAGAACCAAUGGGACCCAGUGGCUCUUUCGCCUGUGCAAGACUUAAUCAGCCUUUCCUUUGAAGAGAAAAUAUCAGUUAAUAAAACCAAUGCAUCUACUGAU